UUGCUCAUCCGACCACCGAGAAGCAAACCGACAGUGUCGCAGUUUCGUUCAGCUACAAGAGGAAAACCGAGAAACACAUCAGAAAUGCCGGGUCCCAACGAAAAGUGCAAAGGUGACUGCCAGGGGUCAUGCAAAUGUGGAUCAGACUGCAAAUGCUGCGAUGCACCCGGAGACAAAUGCUGCUGCAAGUCCGGCAGCGACUGCAAAUGCCAGGAUUGCAAAUGCACAUAAGUAAGAAAUGAAAUGUCGAGGACGGAUGCCGGUUGAAUUGAGAAAAUGGAUUUGAACAUACUCGCGCUAACUCAACACAACGUAACAUAGUCUUAAUAUGUACGUCGAUAUCGUCUUUACCUUUUUCAUUUGUGCUUGUAUUUCUGUUCGAAAAACUUCUACCAAAUAAUAUGCUUAAUUUUAUUUAACUGGCCAUGAAUCAUGUUGUCUAAACAUUAUACUUACUUCAACGUGAUUUCACUUGAAUAUCACAAGUAUCACAAUAAUAAUAUGUAAUAAAUUUAUCUACCCUGAACAUAAUGUAAAACUAAAAUAAAAGUAUUCCACUAA